UACGAAGGGGCUAGCGUUGUUCGGAUUUACUGGGCGUAAAGCGCACGUAGGCGGAUCGUUAAGUCGGGGGUGAAAUCCUGGAGCUCAACUCCAGAACUGCCUUCGAUACUGGCGAUCUUGAGUCCGGAAGAGGUGAGUGGAACUCCUAGUGUAGAGGUGGAAUUCGUAGAUAUUAGGAAGAACACCAGUGGCGAAGGCGGCUCACUGGGUCCGGUACUGACGCUGAGGUGCGAAAGCGUGGGGAGCAAACAGG
rnacentral:rRNA from 1 species